rnacentral:rRNA from 1 species
CACGUGAGCAACCUGCCCCUGACUCUGGGAUAAGCGCUGGAAACGGCGUCUAAUACUGGAUAUGUGACGUGACCGCAUGGUCUGCGUCUGGAAAGAAUUUCGGUUGGGGAUGGGCUCGCGGCCUAUCAGCUUGUUGGUGAGGUAAUGGCUCACCAAGGCGUCGACGGGUAGCCGGCCUGAGAGGGUGACCGGCCACACUGGGACUGAGACACGGCCCAGACUCCUACGGGAGGCAGCAGUGGGGAAUAUUGCACAAUGGGCGCAAGCCUGAUGCAGCAACGCCGCGUGAGGGACGACGGCCUUCGGGUUGUAAACCUCUUUUAGCAGGGAAGAAGCGAAAGUGACGGUACCUGCAGAAAAAGCGCCGGCUAACUACGUGCCAGCAGCCGCGGUAAUACGUAGGGCGCAAGCGUUAUCCGGAAUUAUUGGGCGUAAAGAGCUCGUAG